UCAGAAUGCGUUUCUGACCUUUUUUUCUUCCUUCAUUUAUUUUAACAACUCAGCGCCAUUGCACCUCAUCUCCCCUGUCCCCAUUACACGCCUCUCCUCAACAUACGAAGUCCAAACAAAAUGACAGCUCUUCUGACUGGGUGCCUAGGGACACUGGUUAUUUAUUCUCCGAUACGCCGGCCAAUCAUCUUGCUCUUUUGUCUCUGAUCCUCCCAUUUCCUGCACCUAACGAGUCUGACCAGCCAGCAGCUUCCCGUAACACGAGCUUUACCAAACAGUACAUACCCGAUUAACUUCUCAACCAUUUACCUAGACAUUCUUCUUUGCGUCUAUCAUCAGGCUUUAAAUUAACUUUAGGGCUUGCUAUGAUACUGAUUAAGCUCCUUCAGCCUUUCUUCUAGCGGUGGGAGCCGUGAAUCGAGAAAGAGGGCAAAGCCAGGGUUCUAUUUCCUGUGGCAAUAAAAGGGCGAAUAAAAGUGAAAUGAGAAAAAAAAAAAAAAAGAAAAGAAAAGAAAAGAAGACACUGUGAGCGAGAGGAAUGCUUGAUAGGUAAAGAAUAAAGAGAAGCGGGAAUCUCAGUCCUAAGUUUCAUGUCCUGCUAUGCUAUCAUCCUACCUGCUUUUUUUGUUUUACUUCUUUAUCCCAUAUCGCUAUUGGCAAUCAAUACUGUCCUUUGUGAAUUUCUGGCGAACGCUGGCUCGCCAAGUAGGGCACUCAACUGGCAUGCUUGAGGAAUGCCUAAGGGUACGAUGCCCCAUAGGAACAGCUGCCCGAACACCGCCCAAAUUGCACUUUGGUGCGAAAUACAUACAUAUGUGGCGUCUCCUCACCCGCGGAGCGGGUGUUUGCAUCAUGUCAGUGAAACACAUUUGCCUCGAUGGGGUGCAUUCCAUUCCUGGUU
rnacentral:sRNA from 1 species